UAUUAUUUUUGAUGUUAAUUGUUUAACCUGAGUAGUAAUAGAUAUGGUCUUGAAACUUAAAGAAUUUGGCAGUAUUUUAUUCUGUUCAGAGGAACCUGUUCUUUUAUCGAUAAUCCUCGUUGGACCUUACUUGAUUUAUUGAUUUGUAUACCGCCGUUGUAUUGAGGAUCUUUAUAGUGUUUAUAAUUUUCUGUAUUUUACUUUAAGUUAUUUCAGGUCAAGGUGCAAUUUAUGAUUAAGUGGAAAUGGGUUACUUUUAUAUUUAUUUUUGGAUUAUUGAGUGUAAUUUUGAUAUGAAAUUGGAUUUGAAUGUAAUUAUUAUUUUAGAUUGUAUUGAUGAUUUAGUUUCUAGAAUGUGUACACAUCGCCCGUCGCUCUCGUUAUUUAUUCGAG
rnacentral:rRNA from 1 species